GGUCGGGUAGCUCAGUUGGUAGAGCAGAGGACUGAAAAUCCUCGUGCCGGCGGUUCAAGUCCGUCCCCGACCACCA
rnacentral:tRNA from 1 species